UUUUUUUUUUUUUUUUUUUUUAGCAGGAUCGACCUCGACUCCUCUUUCGUUCACAAUAAGCCUCGGCAACUUACCGGACAGCACUCCAUAAGUGCACUGAUUCGAACCCAACGGUAUGAGUUAUCUCUACCUGUCAAACAACUGGAUCAAGUCCGCCGGAUGCACCUCUUCCGCUUGGGACUUUGCCAUCAUGUCAUCAACAUGGCAUUUGCUUUCAUGAUGAGUCAUAUCAUGAAACAAAGUCACCAUAGCCCUUUGAUCCGUGGCACCGACCUUCUUCUUCACUAGAGGAUAGUCUUCUCU
rnacentral:lncRNA from 1 species